rnacentral:rRNA from 1 species
UACGGAAGGUCCGGGCGUUAUCCGGAUUUAUUGGGUUUAAAGGGAGCGCAGGCGGAGGCUUAAGCGUGACGUGAAGUGUAGAUGCUCAACAUCUGAGUUGCGUCGCGAACUGGGUUUCUUGAGUGAGUACGACGUGGACGGAAUGCGUGGUGUAGCGGUGAAAUGCUUAGAUAUCACGAAGAACCCCGAUUGCGAAGGCAGUCCACGAGUCCUUUACUGACGCUAAAGCUCGAAGGUGUGGGUAUCGAAC